AUGCAGUGUUUGUGGGUGUACAUGAUGCUGUGCCUCCAAGGGGGUUUUCCAUGCCAACGGAACUGAUGUGGCUGUCAUCCAGGUUCCAUUCGAAGACCCCAUUGUUCCAAGAACUCCUUCAAAAGGCACCUGCACAGAGGGCAUCAGCUUUCAGUGGGGCAUCCAACCAUUCAACUACACGUGGGAGGUUGGCGUCGGACCUGACCUGGCUAUGCAUCGUAGGUACAUUAUGCUCUAUGAAAACCAGUGACCAUGGAUGUUUCUCUCCACCACCGGAUACAUCUGAGAGGGACGCCAAGACGCUGGAAGCUCAGCAUGCCUCUACCAAACGCUGCCUCGUCACAACUACUGAGCCCAUCUGCAAGACUAUUGCCUUCCACAGAAGGGGUGAGGACUGACAACAAACUGUACUCUGGCCAUCAUUGGUGCAGAACCUCCCUCCUGGACUCCACCUGCAGGCCCCAAGAGACCGUUGACACCCACCAGGGUUCUAACUUUGGACUCUACACCUGUAAAACAAAGUCAUGGCAGGGUUCAAAGUCUCUAGGCUAGUAGUGGCUUUGUCCCAUAGUAUCUUUGGAUUAAAUUGAUUGGCAAUCCUUUCAGAUGGACUACCAGUGGUGAAUGGGAUUGUGUUCUACAAGCAAUACUCACCUGAAGACAGGCUUGUCAUCAGACAUCUUAUAGGUAUGGCUCUACAUUUCGUAACGCCUCUGAGUCUAACGUGCGCACUGAGUCUAACGUGAUUUGGAUUUGUCAAUAGAAACAUUGGAUAUCUGGUCCUAAAGGGGCUGCGCUACUAAGCAGUGUCCCACUCACCCCAUUGUAUGUUGAUGGGAUAUUUAAUUUACUUUCUGAAAGUCACAUUACAUUUUGUCAAUCUGGUGAAUGAGUGCUUUUGACUAGAACAAUCUUAAUGUGCUUUGGAAGUUUGGACUUUCAAUCUCAGGAUCUGAGGGAGACCCAGUCACACUCUCGCUGACCAGGUUCCAAUGAAAACUGAGUCUUCAGUAAACAGCUGGGUUCCAAAUGACCUGAUGGAAUUAACUUUAUUUUUUAAAUUCAGUUUAGCUUUGCCAGAGGCCAGACUCUCAUUGUGAUUCCUUGACUGACACGGACUAAAGUAUCCUGUUACAACAAUCUACUAAAUUAAUUUGGGUCCCCUGGCCACACCCAGCAAUUUAAACUAGCAUUGAAUCAAUACUUUCAUGUUAUUACUCUAUUUAAAAUUAAUAAAUUGUUGGCUCUUGAAGACUUCCUCCAGUACCUUUUUUUUGUUUUUAAAAGCACUAUACCAAGCUUAACUGCAGACUUCAAAUUCCGUGUUUUGUGGGACUGCCUGUGUAAACGCAGCCAAUAAUUUUUCCAGUAGUUGAUUGUCUCCAAUCGGGUAAAAGAUAAAGACUGCCUGUGUAAAUGCAGCCUUUGCUCAGGGGUAUACAACUCAUACCCUACAAGGUCCAGCGCCUGCUGGUUUUGUUCUGCUAAUGACCUUGUGUUCCAGGUCUAAAAUUCCAGUCUUGAAUUUGCAUCCAGGAAUGUGUUUACUUGUGUUGAGCUUUUUUCUCUAGGCUUAAUUAGCUGUCAAAUGAGGCAGAGAUUACAUGACCGCUACUUGGACACUUCAAAUAGUGUUACCCAACAUUAUAGCAAAACCCUUAGCAUGCUCAUUGUGACAUAAAGAAAUAACCUGUCAUUCUUCUUUAGCAAACAUGUUUAGUUAUGCAAGUUGACUCAGCAAUACCUCAGCAAUUACCUCGUGCUUGUAAUUUAAAGCCUGCGUGAAAGGUGCAAUCUGCAGUUGCUUUUGGGGACUUUAUGACCAUUUUAUAUACAGUGGAUUUGAAAGUAUUCAAACUCCUUCACCACAUUUACAUCACAGCCUUGUUCAAAAGUGGAUAAAAUCUUACUCGGACAGGUUUUUAAAUGUUAACUUAAGGUCUGUACGCCAGUCAUGUAAAGUCAAUGAAAGCCUCAUUUAAAUGUACAGCUUUUGUAUUGCAUCAUGAUUUUCAGUAAUCGCUUCAAUUCAAACUUAACACCAGAUUUGCCCCUGGUGGGAUAUACAAUCAACUCUUCACCAUUAAAGCCUUCCUGGUACAUGUGCUGGGAUAAUAAAUAAAAAAAUUCCCCCUUAUCAGGAUGCCUACACCACAGUAGGUAGCAUCAUAAGCCACUUCAACCCAGCUCUUUAAAUCUAACAAGGUCCAUUUAAAUGUCAUGUGGGCAUUCAGUAUGUCAGACUCUUACUAAACUAGUUUGACGUUCAAGUGUAAAAUUGAAUUGCAUGAGCAGUUUUCAAGCACGUUGUGCUGUGAUUCCCCCAGAUAGGAAUUAACUACACUGGUGACAGGU
rnacentral:lncRNA from 1 species